AUACGGAGGGUGCAAGCGUUGUCCGGAUUUAUUGGGUUUAAAGGGUGCGUAGGUGGUUUUUUAAGUCAGUGGUGAAAGCCUACAGCUUAACUGUAGAGGUGCCAUUGAUACUGGGGAACUUGAGGAUGGACGAGGUAGGCGGAAUUUGUGGUGUAGCGGUGAAAUGCAUAGAUACCACAAGGAACACCGAUAGCGAAGGCAGCUUACUGGCCAUAACUGACACUGAGGCACGAAAGCGUGGGGAGCGAACAGGAUUAGAAACCCUAGUAGUCC
rnacentral:rRNA from 1 species